rnacentral:rRNA from 1 species
CCUACGGUGGGCAGCAGUAGGGAAUCUUCCGCAAUGGACGCAAGUCUGACGGAGCAACGCCGCGUGAGUGAAGAAGGAUUUCGGUUCGUAAAACUCUGUUGUUAGAGAAGAACAGCGCAUAGAGUAACUGUUAUGCGUGUGACGGUAUCUAACCAGAAAGCCACGGCUAACUACGUGCCAGCAGCCGCGGUAAUACGUAGGUGGCAAGCGUUGUCCGGAUUUAUUGGGCGUAAAGCGAGCGCAGGCGGUCAAUUAAGUCUGAUGUGAAAGCCCCCGGCUCAACCGGGGAGGGUCAUUGGAAACUGGUUGACUUGAGUGCAGAAGAGGAGAGUGGAAUUCCAUGUGUAGCGGUGAAAUGCGUAGAUAUAUGGAGGAACACCAGUGGCGAAGGCGACUCUCUGGUCUGUAACUGACGCUGAGGCUCGAAAGCGUGGGUAGCAAACAGGAUUAGAUACCCUUGUAGUC